rnacentral:lncRNA from 1 species
UCAAAGGCAAAACAAAAUAAAGAUUCAUUAGAAAAAAAACCACAUUAUCUCACUAUCUAGAAAUAGAAAAAUUAUCUAGAAAAAAAAAAUACAUGUUUAAGUAUAUAUCCAAACAAGAUAUAGAAAUUUCGAAUAGAUUAGAUGAAAUCUCAAAGAAUCCAUGAUUCAGUAUAUUUUCAUAAAAUUCUCAAAUUCGAAUCGUUUCAUUCGCGAUGAG